rnacentral:lncRNA from 1 species
UCCCGACACGCGGGCCAUGGGCCGGACAAGGGCGUGCGGCAAGCGCGUCCGUGUGAUGUAUGUUUCCCCCAAACUAGACGCAAGUUUGGGCCGGGGAUGGGUCAAAAACAGACGAAAUCCGGAUAUUUGUCCGUUUGGGUCCGUGCGUUGGGCCGCGGUAUUCGUUUAUCCUACCCCAAACGGACGCGCACGGACAAGAUGGGGUUGUGCGGUGGAGUUGUCCUAAGGACAUGUUUGGUUAGUCGCAUGCAACUCAUACAUGCUUUGGGAUGCAAAUUUGGCUUGUUUGGUAGCAGCCUAGGUUGCACUGAAUUCAAUGGACUACUUUUUUCUUCGCCGCAUUUGAACUUGCUGUAUGGACGUGGUGGUGGCUUUAUUUAUAAAAUGAAAUGAAAGCCUAUUUCAAAAGGGUUGCACUGAAUUCGUGCCCCGCACGAAUCUUAAAGAAAAGAUGGGCUUAGCUAUGAAGGAACGAUCAAAUAGACCAUUUCUAGCAAGCUAUGUCCAGGGUGCAUCGUUGCAUGUAGUUUCACGCCUUGGGAGGCAUAACUCCCACUGUCCCCUCAGCAUCCAAACCCCCAUUCUCUCUCACCGCCAGACUGAGAUACAAGAUUUUCUUUUGGCUAUUGUUGCAUGUUAGAGUAAACACAAGAAAUCUGCUGAAGAGGAAAUAUAUGCAUCUGGAUUUUCUGUAAUGAAAUAGCGAUUGUUGCAACUUUGUUUUCUGUAAUGAGAAUAACGAACAAACUAUGUUGCACCUUUUUGGGACUCUGAUUGGUUCAAAGCUUAUGGAACUUUAUCCUUCUCAACAAGAUGAAAUGCAUCUCUAUCUAUGAUGAAGUUCUUGCCUUUCAAGACCUCUCACAAGAGAUUGCAUUGGAUAUCAUAAUAUUGGGAUGCUAAAAUAUUUGGAAUCAGAGAAAUGACAAGAUUUUUAAAAGAGAAGCUCUUGCGCUCAACAGUUGGAAAUACCUACUAGUGGCUGGGGCGCCACCCGAUGGCGCCUCCUAAGACGUGCUUGUGACGUGCUUGUGUGCGCUUAUCAUGUCCGUGCACAUUCGACUGCCAUGUUUGGUCC